rnacentral:sRNA from 1 species
UUUUAAUUGACCAAGAAAACAUUGGAAGGUCCAAAUGAAGACAUGCUUUAAUCGGACGGCUAUAUAACGCAACGGUUCACCGGAAAAAUAGAGAUGGUGGAACCGGUUGGGGGUGACAAAUUCUUAUUAAGUGACAAAUUCUUAUUGGUUAGAAUAAGAAGGAGUGAAUCCAAGAAUUGUUCCAAAAAAAAU